UCAGCUUCUCUCCAUGGACACGGCGGGCGCAUUGACGCCACAAGCUUGAAAAUAAUGUAGAUAAAAUUACAGGUUGAAAUUCUGAUUUUAUUUCAAAAUGAUAAAUAAACCGAGGCAUAGUUCUGACCCUCUUUGAUCUUCAGCAAUUUUAAAAGUUCUUCAUCCUAAUUUCUGAGUAUCAUAAAAAGUAAAAAGUUGUGUCCUGUGAAAUGAACCUAAUUUUCCGAGUGAAUAGGAACGCCUGAGUGGCCAUUUAGAGUGCUGCAUUUUCCUUCCCUCAUGAUUCCUGCUGGGUCCUCUUCGCUGAGGCUUUUCCCUGAGUCAUAUAUUUACUGGAAAGGCUACCUAGA
rnacentral:lncRNA from 1 species